UGGAGGGAUAAAUAACUUUGUGUGGUGAUAUGUUACAGGUCCUUGAGGGAGAUGGAGGGAUAAAUAACUUUGUGUGGUGAUAUGUUACAGGUCCUUGAGGGAGAUGGAGGGAUAAAUAACUUUGUGUGGUGAUAUGUUACAGGUCCUUGAGGGAGAUGGAGGGAUAAAUAACUUUGUGUUGUGAUAUGUUACAGGUCCUUGAGGGAGAUGGAGGGAUAAAUAACUUUGUGUGGUGAUAUGUUACAGGUCCUUGAGGGAGAUGGAGGGAUAAAUAACUUUGUGUGGUGAUAUGUUACAGGUCCUUGAGGGAGUCUGAGGGAUAAAUAACUUUGUGUGGUGAUAUGUUACAGGUCCUUGAGGGAGAUGGAGGGAUAAAUAACUUUGUGUGGUGAUAUGUUACAGGUCCUUGAGGGAGAUGGAGGGAUACAUAACUUUGUGUGGUGAUAUGUUACAGGUCCUUGAGGGAGAUGGAGGGAUAAAUAACUUUGUGUGGUGAUAUGUUACAGGUCCUUGAGGGAGAUGGAGGGAUAAAUAACUUUGUGUGGUGAUAUGUUACAGGUCCUUGAGGGAGAUGGAGGGAUAAAUAACUUUGUGUGGUGAUAUGUUACAGGUCCUUGAGGGAGAUGGAGGGAUAAAUAACUUUGUGUGGUGAUAUGUUACAGGUCCUUGAGGGAGAUGGAGGGAUAAAUAACUUUGUGUGGUGAUAUGUUACAGGUCCUUGAGGGAGAUGGAGGGAUAAAUAACUUUGUGUGGUGAUAUGUUACAGGUCCUUGAGGGAGAUGGAGGGAUAAAUAACUUUGUGUGGUGAUAUGUUACAGGUCCUUGAGGGAGAUGGAGGGAUAAAUAACUUUGUGUGGUGAUAUGUUACAGGUCCUUGAGGGAGAUGGAGGGAUAAAUAACUUUGUGUGGUGAUAUGUUACAGGUCCUUGAAGGAGAUGGAGGGAUAAAUAACUUUGUGUGGUGAUAUGUUACAGGUCCUUGAGGGAGAUGGAGGGAUAAAUAACUUUGUGUGGUGAUAUGUUACAGGUCCUUGAGGGAGAUGGAGGGAUAAAUAACUUUGUGUGGUGAUAUGUUACAGGUCCUUGAGGGAGAUGGAGGGAUAAAUAACUUUGUGUGGUGAUAUGUUACAGGUCCUUGAGGGAGAUGGAGGGAUACAUAACUUUGUGUGGUGAUAUGUUACAGGUCCUUGAGGGAGAUGGAGGGAUAAAUAACUUUGUGUGGUGAUAUGUUACAGGUCCUUGAAGGAGAUGGAGGGAUAAAUAACUUUGUGUGGUGAUAUGUUACAGGUCCUUGAGGGAGAUGGAGGGAUAAAUAACUUUGUGUGGUGAUAUGUUACAGGUCCUUGAGGGAGAUGGAGGGAUAAAUAACUUUGUGUGGUGAUAUGUUACAGGUCCUUGAGGGAGAUGGAGGGAUACAUAACUUUGUGUGGUGAUAUGUUACAGGUCCUUGAGGGAGAUGGAGGGAUAAAUAACUUUGUGUGGUGAUAUGUUACAGGUCCUUGAGGGAGAUGGAGGGAUAAAUAACUUUGUGUGGUGAUAUGUUACAGGUCCUUGAGGGAGAUGGAGGGAUAAAUAACUUUGUGUGGUGAUAUGUUACAGGUCCUUGAGGGAGAUGGAGGGAUAAAUAACUUUGUGUGGUGAUAUGUUACAGGUCCUUGAGGGAGAUGGAGGGAUAAAUAACUUUGUGUGGUGAUAUGUUACAGGUCCUUGAGGGAGAUGGAGGGAUAAAUAACUUUGUGUGGUGAUAUGUUACAGGUCCUUGAUGGAGGGAUAAAUAACUUUGUGUGGUGAUAUGUUACAGGUCCUUGAUGGAGGGAUAAAUAACUUUGUGUGGUGAUAUGUUACAGGUCCUUGAGGGAGAUGGAGGGAUAAAUAACUUUGUGUGGUGAUAUGUUACAGGUCCUUGAGGGAGAUGGAGGGAUAAAUAACUUUGUGUGGUGAUAUGUUACAGGUCCUUGAUGGAGGGAUAAAUAACUUUGUGUGGUGAUAUGUUACAGGUCCUUGAGGGAGAUGGAGGGAUAAAUAACUUUGUGUGGUGAUAUGUUACAGGUCCUUGA